UGGACAUAUUUAUUAUAAUUAUUGCUUGUCCUGGUCCAUCAUUAUGUCUGUUCCUGGUAACAUGAAUUCUUUUGAUUUUUUUCCUUUUAGUCGACUGAAGGAGCAGCAGGUGCAGCAGCAACACCUGAGGUUUCUGGCCUUAAAAAUGUGACAGAUGUCACAAAGCAGCACAUUAAGGAAUGUGUCUUGAAAGAGUCUGAAGGAGAAUUAAAAUUAACUCCAGAAGAACAGAAAGAAAGUGAAAAAAAAUUAUUGGACAUGUGUGAAAAAAUACGGCUCAUCGAUACAGAUUAUCAAAUGGACAAGAAAGUGGACAAGGAACUGUACAAGGACGAGCGAAGGACUAAGAGAGGAGCGCAUGUCUUUAAUAAUGACUUACUGAAAUUUCAUCACAAAGUUCUGCAAAAGUUUAUACAAAAAUAUCAAAUUUUUAAUCUUCAAGGAUACAAUAAAGAGGAAAUAGAAGAAUUCAGCAGCCACACACUUUCCCAGGAAACAACAAUGGAGAUACAGAGAAACAUGGUAGUGCACUUUGACCAUGAGGAUCUGUACAUAAACACUAAUGGAGUAUUGUAUGGCACAUUUCAGGAAGAGCUAUGUGACGCAUUAUUGAAUGUGCUGGGACACAUAAACCCAGAGGACGUGACAGAAGCAGAUAAAGAACGGCUAAAUGAUCUGAUAAAUUACAUGAACAGAUUAGAAAUUUAUGUUGACCAAAUUGCAAAAGAAAAGUGGAUUGGGACUCAAAUGAAUCACAGGUAAAGAGCAAAAAAGACUCGGUUUGAUGUGGUAAAACACCAGGUAGCAACAAUGUACGAGACUGAUCGUGGUUUGGAGUGGAGCCUGGAGAUUUUGGGUAGGGUUGCACCUUUGUUUGGACAAAGACAGUAAUUUUAGUUCCUGUUUAUAGUGUUGUUGUAAGUGUUCGAGUUUUUAUAAUUAAUUUCCUGCUUCAGUCACUGUAUUUUUCUAAAUUAAAUUUCUCUCUCUGAAA